rnacentral:rRNA from 1 species
CCUACGGGAGGCAGCAGUGAGGCAUAUUGGUCAAUGGGCGGGAGCCUGAACCAGCCAAGUCGCGUGAAGGAAGAAGGUACUUAGUAUUGUAAACUUCUUUUGUCGGGGAACAAAGGCGGAGACGCGUCUCCGGAUGAGUGUACCCGAAGAACAAGCAUCGGCUAACUCCGUGCCAGCAGCCGCGGUAAUACGGAGGAUGCGAGCGUUAUCCGGAUUUAUUGGGUUUAAAGGGUGCGCAGGCGGGAGAUCAAGUCAGCGGUAAAAUGUCGGGGCUCAACCCCGGCCGGCCGUUGAAACUGGUUGUCUAGAGUUGGAGAGAAGUAUGCGGAAUUCGUGGUGUAGCGGUGAAAUGCAGAGAUAGCACGAAGAACUCCGAUUGCGAAGGCAGCAUACCGGCUCCAGACUGACGCUGAGGCACGAAAGCGUGGGGAUCGAACAGGAUUAGAUACCCCUGUAGUC